CAUUAUUCCGUAAAGUUGUUGUCUGCUAUGGGUUGUGCAGCGGUAGUAAUAUAUCUAGUACUGAUAUAUUACACGUUAGCAAAACCGAUAGUGUUCACCUUCCAUUUUAUUCAUGG
rnacentral:miRNA from 1 species